rnacentral:rRNA from 1 species
UACGUAGGGGGCAAGCGUUGUCCGGAAUCAUUGGGCGUAAAGAGCGUGUAGGCGGCCUGGUAAGUCCGCUGUGAAAGUCCAGGGCUCAACCCUGGAAUGCCGGUGGAAACUGUCAGGCUCGAGUCCGGAAGAGGCGAGUGGAAUUCCUGGUGUAGCGGUGAAAUGCGCAGAUAUCAGGAGGAACACCGAUGGCGAAGGCAGGUCUCUGGGCCGAUACUGACGCUGAGGAGCGAAAGCGUGGGGAGCGAACAGG